GAGGUACAUAAUGGGUCCAGGGACUGGGCCUCAAAGUUUUGAUAGCUGAGCAAGUUACAGAGGUAAUGAAUUCACAAUUUACAAAGGUAAUGAACUCACAAUUUACAAAGGUAAUGAACUCCAGGUAGGUCUAGUCACAAUCAUGACAAGUUACAAAGGUAUUUACAGAUUACAGAGGUACACAAUGUGUUGUAGUAGUGCCAUCUAGUAGUGGUAGUCAGAGUUAGUCAGGUUAUCAGUGAUGGUGUUAUAGUGAAGGUCAGGACAGUGACCAACCUCAGGGUCACUAAAGAUCAGUUAACCGUCAAUAGUCGUAGAGAAGAGUCGUGCUGCUGCUCCUCCUGCCACCCCCCGCCAGCUUUAUCGCUUCCUCAUCUUUUUAAUACACCUAAAUAACGUGUGGUAACUGAGGAUUGCUGUACCUGGCUGUGUCUACUGCAACAUUGAUCAACACGGCAACUUUGAUCAGUCUGAGGGGUGGAGACAACCAUACUAGUAAAUGGUCUGACCCAUAACAUUUAGUGUUAUAUGGAGAUGCAUUAGUUUAAUAUGUUUAUUAUGCACCCCAUACCCAUCCUGUGGGCGGUAGUCAAAAGAUUACAGAGGUACAUAAUGGGUCCAGGGACUGGGCCUCAAAGUUUUGAUAGCUGAGCAAGUUACAGAGGCAAUGAAUUCACAAUUUACAAAGAAUCCUCCUGACAAACAACACUGGAGACAGGCUAUUAUGAUCACCUCUUGUGUUAGUCCUCGGUUGUGCACGCUGAAGUGUUUGGGCAGUGGACAGUCAUGCACAACACUAUUUUCACUGCAGUGUCGCAACACUUACUUGGAGAGAGUUCCGGGGGUCAUCGCCCCCGCGGCCCGGUCUGUGACCAGGCCUCCUGGUGGAUCAGAGCCUGAUCAACCAGGCUUAGCAUAGCUUCCUGA